CAGCCGCCGCGGUAAUACGGAGGGUGCAAGCGUUAAUCGGAAUUACUGGGCGUAAAGCGCACGCAGGCGGUCUGACAAGUCAGAUGUGAAAUCCCCGGGCUCAACCUGGGAACUGCAUUUGUGACUGUAGAGCUGGAGUGCGGCAGAGGGGGAUGGAAUUCCGCGUGUAGCAGUGAAAUGCGUAGAUAUGCGGAGGAACACCGAUGGCGAAGGCAAUCCCCUGGGCCUGCACUGACGCUCAUGCACGAAAGCGUGGGGAGCAAACAGGAUUAGAUACCCGCGUAGUCCCUGUCUCUUAUAC
rnacentral:rRNA from 1 species